UACGUAGGAGGCAAGCGUUGUUCGGAAUUACUGGGCGUAAAGCGCACGUAGGCGGCUUUGUAAGUUAGAGGUGAAAGCCCGGGGCUCAACUCCGGAAUUGCCUUUAAGACUGCAUCGCUAGAAUUGUGGAGAGGUAAGUGGAAUUCCGAGUGUAGAGGUGAAAUUCGUAGAUAUUCGGAAGAACACCAGUGGCGAAGGCGACUUACUGGACACAUAUUGACGCUGAGGAGCGAAAGCGUGGGGAGCGAACAGG
rnacentral:rRNA from 1 species